rnacentral:rRNA from 1 species
AGCGGCGGACGGGUGAGUAACACGUGGGUAACCUGCCUGUAAGACUGGGAUAACUCCGGGAAACCGGAGCUAAUACCGGAUAGUUCCUUGAACCGCAUGGUUCAAGGAUGAAAGACGGUUUCGGCUGUCACUUACAGAUGGACCCGCGGCGCAUUAGCUAGUUGGUGAGGUAACGGCUCACCAAGGCGACGAUGCGUAGCCGACCUGAGAGGGUGAUCGGCCACACUGGGACUGAGACACGGCCCAGACUCCUACGGGAGGCAGCAGUAGGGAAUCUUCCGCAAUGGACGAAAGUCUGACGGAGCAACGCCGCGUGAGUGAUGAAGGUUUUCGGAUCGUAAAGCUCUGUUGUUAGGGAAGAACAAGUGCAAGAGUAACUGCUUGCACCUUGACGGUACCUAACCAGAAAGCCACGGCUAACUACGUGCCAGCAGCCGCGGUAAUACGUAGGUGGCAAGCGUUGUCCGGAAUUAUUGGGCGUAAAGGGCUCGCAGGCGGUUUCUUAAGUCUGAUGUGAAAGCCCCCGGCUCAACCGGGGAGGGUCAUUGGAAACUGGGAAACUUGAGUGCAGAAGAGGAGAGUGGAAUUCCACGUGUAGCGGUGAAAUGCGUAGAGAUGUGGAGGAACACCAGUGGCGAAGGCGACUCUCUGGUCUGUAACUGACGCUGAGGAGCGAAAGCGUGGGGAGCGAACAGGAUUAGAUACCCUGGUAGUCCACGCCGUAAACGAUGAGUGCUAAGUGUUAGGGGGUUUCCGCCCCUUAGUGCUGCAGCUAACGCAUUAAGCACUCCGCCUGGGGAGUACGGUCGCAAGACUGAAACUCAAAGGAAUUGACGGGGGCCCGCACAAGCGGUGGAGCAUGUGGUUUAAUUCGAAGCAACGCGAAGAACCUUACCAGGUCUUGACAUCCUCUGACAACCCUAGAGAUAGGGCUUUCCCUUCGGGGACAGAGUGACAGGUGGUGCAUGGUUGUCGUCAGCUCGUGUCGUGAGAUGUUGGGUUAAGUCCCGCAACGAGCGCAACCCUUGAUCUUAGUUGCCAGCAUUUAGUUGGGCACUCUAAGGUGACUGCCGGUGACAAACCGGAGGAAGGUGGGGAUGACGUCAAAUCAUCAUGCCCCUUAUGACCUGGGCUACACACGUGCUACAAUGGACAGAACAAAGGGCUGCGAGACCGCAAGGUUUAGCCAAUCCCACAAAUCUGUUCUCAGUUCGGAUCGCAGUCUGCAACUCGACUGCGUGAAGCUGGAAUCGCUAGUAAUCGC